UAGGUUUAUCUAUAUCAAUAUACUUGGC
rnacentral:sRNA from 1 species